GGGAGGUUUGAGUUUUUUGUUCUUCUGAGAAGUUGUGGAAUGAUUCAAUCUUGUUUUGUUCUAAAUUUUUAUAUGAUUUGGCAAUUAGGGCUGAACAGAUUACUGUGGCAGUCUGAUACGGGGUCAUUUAUUUACUUCUACAUCUGACAGGCAAAGUGUCUUUGCAGGACUCUGCAAAUGAAUUUAAUCGUGUUGUUGGAGAAUCCGUCACCUUGCCGUGCAUAUAUAAACAGCAAAGUACCGAUGUUUAUUGGCGGCACAAUGUAAGCAGGAAAGUGUUAAGUAUUAUAAGUGGCAAGCCCUCACCAGAAAGCCAGGAUGAAAUAUUCAGGAAUCGAACAAAAAGUUUUCCUUCAAAGUAUCCUGAGGGAAAUUACUCAAUUGAGCUGAAAGAUCUGGAGUUGUCUCAUGCAGGAAUCUACACUUGUUUCUUAGAAAAGUCAGAUGAGAAAAGGAAAAUACAGCUUUUUGUCAGAGAGAAGCCUGAAAAACCAACAGAAAAGCCUGAAAAACCAACAGAAAAGCCCAUAAAACCAACUCCAAACCAGGGAAACUCAAGCAUGGAAACACAGUCACUGAAGAUUAUGCCCUUCCUAAUUGCUGUACUGGGACUCACUCUGCACCUUAUCUGAGUUUUGCUUCCAGUGCCUGUUACAUUUGGUUGCAUUUAGUGACAAUGACUAACUGGGUUUGCUGUUGACACUUGAUGCCAAAGGUUUUAUUCUCAAUCUGUAAGUUUGGACAACUGGAUCGCUCACAUGCUGUGUGUAUGCUAUCACUCUGGACUGUGCUGUUGAGUUUAGUUCCGUUGAUAUGUUUUGUCUGUAUUAUUAGGGGUCAAGCACCGCAGCUAUUUUAUUCAUUAGUGGGUCAUUCCGUGUCAAAUCAACCAAAUAUUUCUUUCUUUUUUUUUUAAUUCCCUGGUUCAAAUUUUUUAUUUUGCUAAUACAUAUAGCCUAUAUUUUGAAGAAAGACAUACAGUGAUGAAUGCCAAACUAUUAUUUGUCAUGGAUGAAUAUUUAUGAAUAAUCCACUAUUUUGUAGAGGGGGUCAAAAUUACAAUUUUCCUUAUUUGGGGGUAUUGAUUGUACCUGUCUGAGUUCCAUAAAUAUUAUUUUCCUAAGUUCCUGCAUUCCUAUAACUCAAGAAGUAUUAAACACAUCACAAUAUGAUAUAAAAUUCUAGUUUUCAAUAAACCUUUCUUUUAAAAUCUUCAUUUUCAAGGCCGUACAUCAUUCAGUCCCAAAGAUAUGGGGAUCUUAAUUCAUUUUCAGAUUCUUGAGUAUUACUUGGUUAAAUACCAAAUGUUGGUCACUUUGUAUACAGCUGAUAAUAUAUUUAAAGCAGAAUUUCUGAAGAAAAUGUAAUGUUUAAACUAGGAAUGCAUCUUGUUUCCCUCUGUCAAAACAAUUGUAUAGAACCUGGAGUGCUAAAAUGCAUCCUAUAGGCAUGCGAACUUUGGAUAAAUAAUAUUUAUGGCAUAUUUGUUCAAUGCGGUUGUUUUGACAGGAGUAAACGAGAUACAUCUCUAGUUUCAACGUUAUUUGUUCUUUAGACAAUCCUCUUUAAAAGAAAAGAAUAUCGUAUUUUUGCAAAGUGACCCACAUUUGGUUUUUGACCACUGAAAAUGUGUACAUUUUAACAAUUUACUCUUGGAGCCAUAUUAAAAUUCCAAUAUCUCUGGAACUGAAGAAUACAGGGCCUUAAAAAUGAAGAUGCCAAAAGUAAAGUUUGUUAAGACCCAAUAUAUAAAAGGGCAUUAAGAUAUCUUUUAUACACGCAUGCAAACUUGGUAGAACACACUUGAAUAGUGUUGUUUCCACAUUUUUUAAUGGUCACCAUUGGCACAAAAUACAACAAAGAUUGCUAAAGUCAACAAAUUUUACUAACAGACUACCACUAUCUGUGUAAAAAUAACAUUAUGAUGCUGCCAUUUUUCUGAAGUAAUUUUUACCUCCCUGUGAUUUGGCUCUUAAUCUCAGGGGAAAAUUGCCAUUUUGACCCUACUAAUAGAUUAGUCAGUAAAUGUUCAUCCAUGACAUUUAAUAAUUUAGCUUUCAUCACUAUGCAUAUCUGUCUUUCUUCAGAAAAAAAUAUUAGCAAAAUUAAAAAUUUGAGCCAUGGACCUCUGGUUGAGUUGACACAGAAGGACCCAAGUGUUCUUAUUAUUCUGAACGUUACCUAGGGAUGGGGAUCACUUUUUCAUUUUCAAAACCAAUAUCAGUUUUGAGUAUCUACCAAUGCUUUUGAUGUUGUUGACACAUGUUCACGGUAGUCAUGUACUCAUGUUCCCUGAGAAAUGCUGAGUAUAGUAUAGUAUUUAUUGCAUAAACUACUUCAGCCAAUUGCUUCUAGGUUAACAAAACAAAAGCACUGAAAUAGAAACCUGAGUGGUCAAUUUUUAAUUGCAUUUUAAUAAAAUGGCUACAACUCUUAAACAAAAUGAGAUAUUUUUACUAAAUUGAAAUCCCCUCCACGACUGUGUCAUAUCAGUUUCUUCACGUCAAUUUUCAUCAGUGUUUUUGCCGUUAUUGUACAGUACGUGGCUCUUUAACCACUACUUCCAACUUUUUAUAUUGUAUUUGCUAUUACAUUUGGUUUGCUGGUUUUGUCUCUGUAUCAAGUGCAGUGUUAGAUUUACAGUUACAAUAUGACAUAGUUACAAUAUAGGAACAUAAGCCAUUUAUCGCAGAUAUAGAUAAAAUGUCAGAGCAGUUUUUGAAACAUUACAGCAAAAAAAAAAUAUAUAAUUGCCACACACAGACUGCAAACACAAAAAGCUUUCAGACACAAUGCUGAAUUCAGUUGUCUUUCACAGCUUUUUGCAUUUCUGGGGUCAUAUAAACACAACUUUACAGCUACUCAACUUUUUUAAAACACAGAUUUAAAAACACAGGUCAUGCAGUGUUUUGUUUACAUUUGAUUUAAUGUCUGUAGUAUUUUGUACCUGAAUGCUACUGUCAAAUAUCUAUAUUAUGAUACACAACUGUAAUAAAAUUACUCUUAUCUUGAAGAAUCAUGAAGUAAUGCAUAUCAUGAAGUAAUUUGGUCAAAUUGCCAGUUGUAUUAUUGAACACACAAGUCAUUUUAUCUGUGUUUAUUUUAUCUUCAAAGAGCAUGAAUUUUUAUGUAACAAUCUGCUAAACCAUUAAAAAUAAAGAGAUGUAUUUAGAAAAAAAUCUGUGGUGUUCUCAAUUCAGAUCUGCACAAACUGAUAGAUAUUUUUGACAUUAAAUGAAAAGUUGUAAUUGCUACAUCCAUUUGGAGGGGUUUCUCACUGGUUGGAGAACAUUUGACUGGCAGCUGUAUAAAGCCAACAAAUAUGAAUUUCAGUCACAGAAACCUUGUUUGAUUUGUGGAGUUGCCGUUCCACUACUUGCAUUAUUGUCAACAUACAAUUAUUUCACAUUCAGAAUGGCAUUCCAUCUGAAAUUUUAUUCAUUGAGAAACAUACAGUAUACUGCAAAAAGUGUGUGUUAAAGAAUGAAAUCAUGUUGUUGAAGGAGACAGGAGUUUUAUUGGAUUUAUAGUUGACAAGAAAAGUUGUUUUAGAGGUUGAGCAUGAAAGAUUGCAAAAACUACAACAUUAUUUUUCUUUUUAAUAAUGUGUGCCUUAUGUAUAUUAUAAGUAACAGUAUGUGUAAGGUACAUGAUUUUAUAGACAGUUUAGACAUGUUCUUUGGUAGCACCUGCUGGUGGGACCCCAAACUGCAAAUGCACAGAUUUUCUCACAACCCCUGAUUUGAACAUGUGGUCAGUGAUAUUGGGAUUCUGGCUAAAGUAUAUACAAAACUGCAAAUUUCUAUCAAACCACUCAAAUAUUUUUUCCGUUCCAAAAUAAGCUGGUGUUUUAUUAAAACGUAUGCAAAACAGUAUACUGUAGGCUCUUAUGCCAUCCUUUGUGUGGCUGUUUGUCUUGUAGUUUAAAUGUAUUGUUCUAGAUCAGUGAAUUUGUAGCUUCCCAAGUGUUUUGAGAAAAACCCAAAUAGUAUAGCUAUGGAUUCAUGUAUAAUAACCCUUUAUUUUCGUUCAAAAAUUUUCUGCUUAUUUUUACUGUUGUUCAGUCUUUGGUUGUCUUGUUCAAAAAAUGUCAGUGCAUAGUUGUACAAGGGGUAUUUUGAUAAUUUUUUAGAUAUAUCUUUAAUGUGCAUCUGGCUCCAGCCUGCCCCCAUAUGAUGUCAAUUUAACUGGAAAAAGCAACGAAUAAAUAAAAGUGCUGUGUGAGCAUGUGUUCAUCUCUGACUUCCCCUCUGGUCUGUGUGGUCGAGUAUCUGAAGCUCAGUAGUGUUUCCGCUCGCAGUAUACGGGAUGUUUGAAUGAUCACAGUACUGAAGGUAUUCAUCUGGAUCAGACAAUGAAGAUCAUACAGCUUCACAUCUAUCUGUUGAUGUGGUCUCAAGCUGCAGAGAGUCUAACAAACACAGCAGUAACUUUAGGAGCUGAUGUGAUUAUAAGCUGUGAUCUUGAUAUAGAGGAGAUUUACUGGUACAGACAGAAAUCACCAGAUCCUCCAGUGUUGAUAUUACGCACUUAUGACAGCACAUAUGAAGGAGCUGAAUAUGAAAACAGGAUCUUAAAACUCAAAUACUCGGUGAAAACUAACAGUCGACUGUUCAUCAGAAAUAUCAGCACUGAUGAAUUAGGAGUUUAUUAUUGUGUCAAAACUAGUGAACCACAAAAAUUCAGCAACGGCACCAAAAUCUACAUCAACGAAUCACAUGAGACUGAAUGGAGCAGCCUAACCAUUACAUCUCUCCUGCUGAAUGUGCUUCUGAUCAUCGCAUUAAUAGGUUUGGGAAAGUAUUACCUUCAGGCAAGAAGAUUUAAAAAUAGUUCAGAGAUCCCUCAAAGUACCACAUCAGCACAAUACUCAAAUGAUAUACAGUAUGCUGCAGUUGAUUUGUCCAUGCACCCCAGUGAAAACAGGCCUUGCCAGGAGCAGAGCAUCUAUUCUCUUCUACAGCCAGUAAAAAGUGCAAGGUGAUAGACGUUAUAAAAAUAUGUAAGUUUGUUUAACACUUCUGUACUUCCAUCUGUGGGAUUUCAUAGUAUGACCUGUUAUUCUAAAAUGGUUUAAAUAGUAAAAAAAUAAGUGAAUGUGUCUAAACGUUUGACUGCUGUUGUUAUUUAAUAUUUAAAAUCAAGUUGCAGAGCAUUGAACAGAAAGAUGAAUUGAGAUCAGAUUUGAAACAAAGUUGAACUAAAUCGGUUGACAAGAUUACUGGACUUAAAAUCUUCUUAUACAAAUAUUCAGUGCAGGGGAACCUUGCGCUUGGAUGAAUGCAGACGGUUCAUAGUAACAGUCAAUUCUGAGGUGAUUUGUCACAUUACUUAAACUUGUAAAGUUCCACAUGAAAAAUAUAAUUAAAAUAAAAUGAACGUAGUGAACACUGGGGCUAUUUGGCA